CGCCAAAAAGCUAGCCCACCCCCCAAAAACAAAUCACCCAUUUUUCUAAACCCAAACACACCACCUUAACCAGAAGCUAAACCAUUUUUCCCCCUUAGUAUGGGAGACAGAAAAGGAACCUCCGUGAGCAAUAGAGAAAGUACCGCAAGGGAAAGCUGAAAGAGAAAUGAAAUAGCCCAGUGAAGCUUUAAAAAGCAGAGACUAACCCUCGUACCUUUUGCAUCAUGACUUAGCCAGCACCACUCAAGCAUAGAGAACUUUAGUUUGACCCCCCCGAAACUAGGUGAGCUACUCCAAGUCAGCCUAACAUUAGGGCCAACCCGUCUCUGUGGCAAAAGAGUGGGAAGAACUUCGAGUAGUGGUGACAGACCUAUCGAACCUAGUAAUAGCUGGUUGCCUGCUAAAUGAAUAAGAGUUCAGCCUCUUCGCUUCUUAGUUGAUUCACCGCCUUCUAUGGGCAGAUACAGUGAAUGUAAACCAUAGUGAGAAACCUAGAGAGUUAGUCAAAGGAGGAACAGCCCCUUUGAAAUAAGAUACAACUUUCUUCAGGUGGUUAAAGAUCAUACAGACCUAAAGUAAAAUGUUUUGGUGGGCUUAAGAGCAGCCACCCCCAUAGAAAGCGUUAAAGCUCAAACAUCUUCCUUACUACUUAUUCUGAUAACUUUAUCUUAUGCCCCUACAUUCAUCAGGCCGCCCUAUGCAUACAUAGGCGUGACCAUGCUAAAAUGAGUAAUUGGGGGGCCCCGGCCCCCUCCCUGCACACGUGUAAGUCGGAACGGACCUUCCACCGAACUCUAACGGACCCAAACAAAGAGGGAACUGAAUAUUAAACUAGAAAACUAGAAAAUCAUUCAACCACAACCGUUUGACCCUACACAGGCGUGCUCCACGGAAAGACUAAAAGAAAAAGAAGGAACUCGGCAAACACUUUUUAGCCCCGCCUGUUUACCAAAAACACCGCCUCUUGUACUUCACAAAUAAGAGGUUCCGCCUGCCCACGGACUAUAUGUUUAACGGCCGCGGUAUUCUAACCGUGCGAAGGUAGCGUAAUCACUUGUCCUUUAAAUGGAGACCUGUAUGAAUGGCUCAACGAGGGCUUAGCUGUCUCCUUUUUCAAGUCAAUGAAAUUGAUCUCCCCGUGCAGAAGCGGGGAUAAAACCAUAAGACGAGAAGACCCUGUAGAGCUUUAGGCGUUAAAGCAGCUCAUGUUAUUACGGCCCCCUAACAAAGGAUUGAACAAGUGAGACCUGUCUUGAUGUCUUCGGUUGGGGCGACCCCGAGGAAUAAAAAAACCCCCGGGUGGACUGGGGCAGUACACCCUAAAACCAAGAGCCACCCCUCUAAUCAUCAGAAAUCCUGACCAAAUUAGAUCCGGCAAGGCCGAUUAACGGACCAAGUUACCCCAGGGAUAACAGCGCAAUCCCCUUUUAGAGCCCGUAUCAACAAGGGGGCUUACGACCUCGAUGUUGGAUCAGGACAUCCUAGUGGUGCAACCGCUAUUGAGGGUUCGUUUGUUCAACGAUUAAAGUCCUACGUGAUCUGAGUUCAGACCGGAGCAAUCCAGGUCAGUUUCUAUCUAUGUAGUGGUUUUUUCCAGUACGAAAGGACCGGAAAAACGAGGCCCAUGCUCCAGGCACGCCUCCCCCUUCCUAUUGAAGGCAACUAAAAUAGGCAAAAGGGCACUUCCCCUAGCCCGAGAUCAGGGCAU
rnacentral:rRNA from 1 species